rnacentral:antisense_RNA from 1 species
CUUCAACGAGCCCAGCCACAACGGCUGUUCGUCGGGCCGGUCCUGGCCGUAGGUGGCGAGGAGGGCCUGGGCCUC